rnacentral:rRNA from 1 species
GCGUAAAGGGCGCGUAGGCGGAAAGAUAAGUCAGUUGUGAAAUCCCGGGGCUCAACCCCGGAACAGCAAUUGAAACUGUCUUUCUAGAGGGUAGGCGGAGAAAACGGAAUUCCCAAGUAGCGGUGAAAUGCGUAGAUAUGUGGAAGAACACCGGUGGCGAAGGCGGUUUUCUAGCUUACUCCUGACGCUGAGGCGCGAAAGCAAGGGGAUCAAACAGGAUUAGAUACCCUGGUAGCCCUUGCCGUAAACUAUGUAUACUUGGUGUAACCGGAAUCAACCCUGGUUGUGCCGUAGCUAACGCGAUAAGUAUACCGACUGGGGAGUACGCUCGCAAGGGUGAAACUCAAAAGAAUUGACGGGGACCCGCACAAGCAGUGGAGCAUGUGGUUUAAUUCGAUGCAACGCGAAGAACCUUACCCAGACUUGACAUACAGUGGAAGUUAGCAGAAAUGUUAACGCCCUUCGGGGCCGCUGAACAGGUGCUGCAUGGCUGUCGUCAGCUCGUGCCGUGAGGUGUUGGGUUAAGUCCCGCAACGAGCGCAACCCUUAUCGUUAGUUGCCAACAGGUAAUGCUGGGAACUCUAGCGAGACUGCCUGGGUUAACCAGGAGGAAGGUGAGGAUGACGUCAAGUCCGCAUGGCCCUUAUGUCUGGGGCUACACACGUGCUACAAUGGUCGGUACAGAAGGCAGCGAAACCGUGAGGUGAAGCAAAUCCCAAAAGCCGGCCCCAGUUCAGAUUGUAGUCUGCAACUCGACUACAUGAAGUUGGGA